rnacentral:lncRNA from 1 species
CUGCGAGGCUCGGCUCUGCUCUGCUUCUGGGUUGGUGACCGUGCGGACACUCUGUGCGCAAGCGCUGUUCGACGCAUCGCAGACUAAAAUAUAGUGGGGCAUUUCGCAGUCGGCGGUCAAUUGGCAGUGGCGGCAGCAUCCGGAAACACGUCUAACCCUCGUACUCUGCUGUUGCAGUUGCUGCAUCGAAGCCGAGCUGUUUUGACACAACUGGAGCAUCCCUGGAUCAACUGCUUUUCUUGCGGCCGUUCUUAUGAUCAGUGAAAUAGGACGGCUCGGCUCUGCUUCUGGGUUGGCGACUGUGCGGACACACUCUGCGCAAGCGCCGUUCGACGCAUCGCAGCCUAAUAUAGUGGGGCGUUUCCCAGCCGGCGGUCAUUUGGCAGUGGCACCAGCAUCCGGAAACACGUCUAACCCUCGUACUCUGCUGCUGUUGCAGUUGCUGCAUCGAAGCCGAGCUGUUUUGACCCAACUGGAGCAUCCCUCGAUCAACUGCUUUUCUUGCGGCCGUUAUUAUCAUCAGUGUUUCUGCGAGGAAAUACGACGGCUCGGCUCUGCUUCUGGGUUGGCGACUGUGCGGACACACUCUGCGCAAGCGCCGUUCGACGCAUCGCAG